UCUGAAACUCUCAAUCUUUUUGUGUCAACCAUGCCCUGCUGAAUGUUAUCCUACUACUUACUGAUGAGCAUCGAAUCCUUUUGUCUGUGUCCAUCUUAUCGUCGUGGUGGUGGUUGAGUACAUCUCUGUAAGUUUUGUAAGUUCAGAGACCGGAAACAGGUAAGUUUAGACAAAAUUUAAACUGCCAAAGAACAUGAGUUUUUGUACAUUUUAGAACAUUGGACUGUCACUACCCAUUCAAGUAAUCACAAUACCAUCAUGGAUGACAAUAGUACAAACUGUCAUGGAUAAUGCAAGUUGUAUCCAUGUACAUAGUUAUUUAUUUCUAUUGCGAUAAGUUCAACUGAUCAAAUGCUACAAGUCUGCGUGUUAUUUUCCAUGCAGUACAAGUGAUAAUUGUUCUUAUUUCUUCACCAUUUUUUCUAUAACCUGGACUCUGUAGAGAAGGCAGCGAGUGCUCUUUGUGAUAUUAAUUUGAUCAAACCUGAACAAGGUGUUCCCAUUUUAACUAAGCCUUCUCCAUUAUUUCUAUGAUACAUUUUGCAUAGAUGAUAGUACAUCUGCAGUUUUUUGUGAAAAUUUGAGACACUGAACAUGUCUACUCCAUGUUGCAUAUAUAGUUAGGUCAGGUUGUAUUGUUCACUUAGUAUUAUAUUUUUUGAAACUCACCCAAAAACAAUUGCUGAGAUGUAUUUCGUAGCCUCAUGCCAACAUAACAAUAAAAAUAAACAUUCAGGGGGACCGAGUUCAGUGAAUAUGUGUUAGAAAAGUUCAAUUCAACCGUGCACUUAAGUUCAAUAUAGAAUAGAAUACAGAAUUGGCAACUUAUCCUCCAGCGGCCGGUGAUGCUCCCCUUCGACCACUCUGCCUCCUCCCCCAUGGUGCUACGCCACCACCGCGUACAGGCAGUUCACAGCCACCACCCCUGUCCGUUCAAUUUCGCUGCUGUGGACGCAUCCCACUCCAAUGCCAUGGCUUAUAAUUCAACGGCAAAUAGUGGAGCCUGCUGGAGGAGUUGCGGGGUCAAGGACCUCCUGCUCAACAGUACAACUUCUUGUUUUAUGGCCGGUCGCUCCAGGAGCUGAGUGCAGGCCGCUCCUUGCUGCGAGCUGCUACUGCACCUACGACUGUCUAGCUCAGCUGCAGCCUUUCUGCUGCUGUUGAUGCAUGCCACUUGCCCACCGACGCCACCUACCUCCGCCGCAGCGACCUCGCCCGGAUCAGCCGCCAUGGCCCUCGCUCCCUCCGCCACCAGCUCCCUCGCCAACUGCCGAUGCACCUGCUCCCAUUGCUGUCGCGCGCCUAACCCACCACCACCACCUCCAGACAGAAAUACCGAUGCCAGUCACUCAUGUUGCAUUGCGUUGCAGUUGCCAGGGAACCUUCCUCGACUCCUCCCCUUGACGAUGGGAUACAUCGACCAGCGGCAUGUCUGUCUAUCCGACAAGGUGGUCGGACAGUGCCAACCGGACGUCUGUGUCUAGCCUGACUUGGGAUGGCUUCUGGGCAACUGCAGGUGGAGGAGAACCAGUAAGUUCCACUGGUGUACGAGAAUUUCAAGGACUUCGCCGCUAACAGCCAAUGAUAGUUAACUGGAUACACCAAAGCAGCAUCUUAAGGUGGCCGGGUCAAAGUGCUAUGACUAGCACUUCAAGAACAAAGAUUAACUCUGUAAUUCUAAUGGUCAUAGUUCUUAUGUUCAGAAAAUAUAUGUUAUGUGUUUUGGUUGAUUCUAAACUGUUGCGUAUCAAACAUGUAUGCACAUUUUGUGUUCGAACAUGUUUUGGUCCAUUGACCUUUUGAACUUGCAACCUUGCUGCCUUGAA